AACGUAGGAGACAAACGUUAUCCGGAGUUACUGGGCGUAAAGGGCGUGUAGGCGGUUUGUUAAGUCUGGCGUGAAAGCUCUCGGCUAAACCGGGAGAGGUCGUUGGAUACUGGCAAACUAGAGGAUGGUAGAGGCGUGUGGAAUUCCGGGUGUAGCGGUGGAAUGCGCAGAUAUCAGGAGGAACACCGAUGGCGAAGGCAGCUCGCUGGGACGGUACUGACGCUGAGGCGCGAAAGCGUGGGGAGCGAACAGG
rnacentral:rRNA from 1 species